UACGUAGGGUGCAAGCGUUGUCCGGAAUUACUGGGCGUAAAGAGUUCGUAGGCGGUUUGUCGCGUCGUUUGUGAAAACCAGCAGCUCAACUGCUGGCUUGCAGGCGAUACGGGCAGACUUGAGUACUGCAGGGGAGACUGGAAUUCCUGGUGUAGCGGUGAAAUGCGUAGAUAUCGAGAGGAACACCUGCGGCGAAGGCGGGUUGCUGGGCUGACACUGACGCUGAGGCGCGAAAGCCAGGGGAGCGAACGGG
rnacentral:rRNA from 1 species